rnacentral:lncRNA from 7 species
CGCGCGAGCUGCAAUGGGAGCCUGCUAACCUGCGCGACCACCUUUUCAGUCCCACCGUGUUCGCCACAUGCUCGACCACGUCGUCUCCACCUCCGGCAAGCUCGACGGUGCAUGGGACUGAAUUUGUGCAGGAUUUAAAAAUGCUUCAAAGUAUGGCACCCUAUUUUCCAUUUAGACUCUAAAUACGUUGUUUAUCAAAUGCUUAUCCCCAUCCGCAGCGCCCGAUCUGUUCUGUAGGUGUUAUGUAACCACUGAACAAUUCGAUCUGUUCUGCAAUCAUUGGAUAUCUGAAAAGUGUAAAACUGUACUAGUAAUA